rnacentral:rRNA from 1 species
GACGAAGGGGGCUAGCGUUGCUCGGAAUCACUGGGCGUAAAGCGCACGUAGGCGGAUUGUUAAGUCAGGGGUGAAAUCCUGGAGCUCAACUCCAGAACUGCCUUUGAUACUGGCGAUCUUGAGUCCGGGAGAGGUGAGUGGAACUGCGAGUGUAGAGGUGAAAUUCGUAGAUAUUCGCAAGAACACCAGUGGCGAAGGCGGCUCUGGCCCGGUACUGACGCUGAGGUGCGAAAGCGUGGGGAGCAAACAGG